CAAAACACUAACCACAAAAAGGAACGGUGGUGAUCACUUUCCUAAGCAUUGAUAGUAACACCCCACAGCAUCCAGUUAAAGAGGUCAGCCCAUCUCAGCCUAUAAUCAGACUGCACACUUGGUUUCUUCCUGCCUCCAUUGAACGUCCAUAUCCCUCUGAAUGUUGCCAUCCCGUAAUACAACCUACCGGUUGAUGUACGAAAGCUAUCGGUUAACGUGAAAACGACACAGGAGGCGGCCGAAAGGGCCCACAAGACACUCAUCAGCCGGCGAUUUAAGGUUGUGCAUAUGCCGUCGGUGGUCGGAAGAGGAGCCAAAAUGGUCGAGGCAAGGAUUGUAGCAGUGGUUGAGCCUAGCAGUGCCACCACCGAGGACUGCGUUGAUUAGAUGCAGAGAAUCAAGAGCUAGCUAAAAACAUUUAGCAUAUUGAUCAAAGCGAAGAGUAAGGGUGCACUGCAGGCCAAGCAAUACAAAGAGGGCAGGAGGGACCACAAGCAGCGCUGCUUCUAUAUUAGUAAGUAUCUGGCUUGUACAUCAACUUCCUAUUAUCUAGAAAAUUUCAAUAAUGAUCCAGAAAUUAAAUCAGAUUGAAGAUAUCUGGUUAUGGCUAUCUGUUUAAUUAGUAGAGAGAAUUGAUGUCAAGACUCACGUUAAGAAAAGUUGUGUCAUUCCAAACAGCCCGUUCCAGGAGACGCUUUGCUGUAUUACUGACAUACAGUGGAGAGGAAUUCAUGUCAUCAACAAAGUUUUGAUCCAAAAGAACAUCUCCUGAACCAUCAGCUGCUGAAUUGUAUCUAGCAUGUAAAGCUCCCUUAAGAUCAUACUGGCGAGUAAUGUUUCGACCAAAGGUAAGAUUCUCCAUGACCAUUAGAUCA